AGAGCGAACGCUGGCGGCAUGCUUAACACAUGCAAGUCGCACGGAUGGGUUUUGGCCCAUUAGUGGCGGACGGGUGAGUAACGCGUAGGUAUCUAUCCGUGGGUGGGGGAUAACAGUGGGAAACUACUGCUAAUACCGCAUGACACCUGAGGGUCAAAGGCGCCGACCUGUGAUGGUUUGUGUCGCCUGCGGAGGAGCCUGCGUACGAUUAGCUAGUUGGUGGGGUAAAGCCUACCAAGGCGACGAUCGUUAGCUGGUCUGAGAGGAUGAUCAGCCACAUUGGGACUGAGACACGGCCCAAACUCCUACGGGAGGCAGCAGUGGGGAAUAUUGGACAAUGGGCGCAAGCCUGAUCCAGCAAUGCCGCGUGUGUGAAGAAGGUCUUCGGAUUGUAAAGCACGUUUCGGCGGGGACGAGUGAGUGACGGUACCCGCAGAAGAACGCCCGGCUAACUUCGCGCCAGCAGCCGCGGU
rnacentral:rRNA from 1 species